GAGUGAUGGAGAUUAGGAGGUAACAGAGAGCCUAGGAGGAAGGGGAAGAUUUCCCACCAGCCACUUCAACCUCUUGAUGGCUAAAAUUGAGAAGGAAGAAUGCUAUGAUCUACUUCCCGAGAUGAUCUAUGCCUCUUGGAGAUGAGCUUUGAGUCUCCAGCUUUUGGCUGGCAUCCACUGACUUGCCCAAUUCAGAACUUAAGGCUCAGAAAGCGUGAACUGCUCUCUGCAGAUCACAAGGCUAGGAAGUGACUUAAGCAAGUGGGCUGUCUCCAGAUUUGUGUCUUCUCUAUCAUAAGGACCUAAGUCACCCAAAAGUGAUCAAUCAACUAAGACUUCACUCAAAGCAAGUGAUGAGACUGACGUCAAGGAUGGGAAGAGGAUGACAAGGUCAUGCAGCGGUUGGUGACAGAACCAAGAUGAGGGCUUUUGUCCUUGAAGCAGACUAACCACACCAGGUUCAGGAAUGUAGGCAUUAGAGAAAAUCACUGCCAAGCCUCUGCCUCUUUAUUCUUUCUAGAACUUUAGAAUUCUUGAUGCAAUUGCAAUUGAUUGACUCUUGCUAAGAAAGGAACAUUCAGGACAUGGUGUUGGAGGAAACAGUGGGAGAGUCACUAGAUCCGACUGAGGUCUUCACGUUCAUGGACCUAUUUUUGUGUGUGUGUUUCUAGUGAGCUAAGCAAUGGUUUUGG
rnacentral:lncRNA from 1 species